UAUUUUGCGGGUCUUUUUUUUUUUAGAGAUAGGUAAGCACACUACCCGCUUCGUUUAUUAUUCAUUUAGAAAUAAACUUAGCUAGAAAUAUGAAUCAACUAGGAUUCGAACUUGAAACCUCGAAUGCCAACCACCAAGCGCUUUACUACUUGCUCUAGGGACAGUCAGUAAUUAUUUUGCGGGUCUUAGCAGCCUUUUUGAAGGGUCAUCAUUUCAAGGUUGUUCAAUUAGAAACUUUUAAGGCGAAUUAACUGAAGGGGAAGG
rnacentral:lncRNA from 1 species